UACGGAGGAUGCAAGCGUUAUCCGGAAUGAUUGGGCGUAAAGCGUCUGUAGGUGGUUUAUUAAGUCUACUGUUAAAGAUCAGGGCUUAACCCUGAAUAGGCAGUAGAAACUAAUAAGCUUGAGUACGGUAGGGGCAGAGGGAAUUCCCGGUGUAGCGGUGAAAUGCGUAGAGAUCGGGAAGAACACCAAUGGCGAAAGCACUCUGCUGGGCCGAAGCUGACACUCAGAGACGAAAGCUAGGGGAGCGAAUGGG
rnacentral:rRNA from 1 species